rnacentral:misc_RNA from 1 species
GGUCACUUGAAAUGCAGGUGCGGCUGGACACAUCUUCUGAGCUAUAAGCAUUACUUAUUUAGUCCCGUCAGACGGAUUAUUUCUACUGCUACAGCUAAUAUAAAGGUCGAUUGUCCGUUUGCCCGACUGAUGCAGAAAAAACAAAGAGAGAUCUUUGUUCACUCGAUCUCAAAUCAAGUAAGACUACCCGCUGAACUUAA